GGAAGUAAAGUCGUAACAAGGUUUCCGUAGGUGAACCUGCGGAAGGAUCAUAUAAAUGGUCUACGUUUUUUAAGUAGACGCUUAAUAUCCUACCCUUGUGAAUUUGUUGUUUGAAUAAUUUUUUUUAAAUUAUUGAUUGUCUUCCUGUUGAAUUGGUUGUCUUAAUGGCAAAUGAUUCGCAGGGGAGUGUCAGUAAUUUUAAAAGACCUUUUUAAAUUAACUUUUGUAUUCAUUUGUCUAAAAUUAUUUUUAUAAUAUAAAACAACUUUUGACAAUGGAUCUCUGGUUCUCGCAACGAUGAAGAACGCAGCAAAAUGCGAUAAGUAGUGUGAAUUGCAGAAUACGUGAUCAUCGAAUCUUCGAACGCAUAUUGCACUUUUUAGUUUACUAAAAAGUAUGUCUGUUGAGUAUCAGUAAAUAUUCUCAUAAAACUUUUUGUUUUAUGGUUAUGAGUGUUUAUAACGAUACAAGUUGUUUCACUUUAAUUUUUUUAAAAUUUGAAUUUUUCUAAUUUAAAAUAAAAUUGGAUAAAUUUUCCGUAAAAAGGAAUAACCAAAACAAUUUUAAUUUUUUGAUUAGAAUUCUUCAAUUAUAAAGGAAAUUUAACUAAAUAACUUGAUCUCAAUCAGAUAAGAGUACCCGCUGAACUAAGCAUAUCAAUAAGCGGAGGAAAGAAACUAACAAGGAUUCCCUUAGUAACGGCGAGUGAAGCGGAAGAGCUCAAUUGAAAUCUUCAAGGUUUACCUUGACGAUUGUAGUUUAAAGAGUGUUUCUGUUGAAGUUUUGGUAGAAGUUCUUUGAAUAGACAUCAUAGAGGUGAGAUCCCGUAUUUGACCUUAUUUCAGCUGUGUGAUACACUUUCAAAGAGUCGGAUUGUUUGGAAUGCAGUCCAAAAUGGUGGUAAUUUCAUCUAAAGCUAAAUAUUGGUGAGAGACGAUAGCGAACAAGUACCGUGAGGGAAAGAUGAAAGAACUUGAAAGAGAGUUAAACAGUACGUGAAAUUGUCAAAGGGAAGCGUUGACACCAGUGUUGUUUCUCGAAAAUCAAUUAAAAAAAGUUGGAUUUUGUGGUGUAUUGGCCUUAACAGCUUGCUUCACUCUUUCUUGCUUUUUUUAAUGCACUUUCGUUUAACAAGUCACAUCAGUUUCUUUGUGUAAAGGGUCAUUGGAAGGUGGCUUUCUCUUCGGAGAAAGUGUUAUAGCCUUUGAUCUCUGCAUCGGAGAGACUGAGGUCUGCAGCGUAGAUCCUUCGGGUUAGAUACAUUUGUGCUAAGCUACAGCUUUCAUAGACAAUUGUUGACUAUGUUUAGUUUGAACUUACCGCUUAUGCUAUUUUACUACGCUUAGGAUGUUGAG
rnacentral:misc_RNA from 1 species